rnacentral:rRNA from 1 species
UACAGAGGUCUCAAGCGUUGUUCGGAUUCAUUGGGCGUAAAGGGGAGGUAGGUGGUCUCGUUUGUCCGAGGUGAAAUCCCUAGGCUUAACCUAGGACGUGCCUCGGAAACGGCGAGACUGGAGUACUGGAGAGGCUAGCGGAAUACCCGGUGUAGCGGUGAAAUGCGUAGAGAUCGGGUGGAACACCAGAGGCGAAGGCGGCUAGCUGGACAGUUACUGACACUCAACUCCGAAAGCGUGGGGAGCAAACAGG